rnacentral:rRNA from 1 species
CCUACGGGGGGCAGCAGUGGGGAAUAUUGGACAAUGGGCGAAAGCCUGAUCCAGCCAUGCCGCGUGUGUGAAGAAGGCCUUCGGGUUGUAAAGCACUUUCAGUGGGGAAGAAAGCCUUGGGGCUAAUACCCUCGAGGAAGGACAUCACCCACAGAAGAAGCACCGGUUAACUCCGUGCCAGCAGCCGCGGUAAUACGGAGGGUGCGAGCGUUAAUCGGAAUUACUGGGCGUAAAGCGCGCGUAGGCGGUCUGAUAAGCCGGUUGUGAAAGCCCCGGGCUCAACCUGGGAACGGCAUCCGGAACUGUCAGGCUAGAGUGCAGGAGAGGAAGGUAGAAUUCCCGGUGUAGCGGUGAAAUGCGUAGAGAUCGGGAGGAAUACCAGUGGCGAAGGCGGCCUUCUGGACUGACACUGACGCUGAGGUGCGAAAGCGUGGGUAGCAAACAGGAUUAGAUACCCCUGUAGUC